UAUGUUUGACAUAUUUUGGUAAUAAAUGUUUCCUAAUUCCUGAUUCCUGAUUCGUUCUAACGUAUUAGUAAUAGUGUAAUUAUUUGUAUGUACCUAUACUAUGCAUUUUUGUGGAGCUCUGCUUCUAAUGUCUCCACUACGUGAAAUAAUCCAAACUGUUUCCACCUUCAUAAAGCCAUCUUCCUAUCUCUAUUCUUUCUAGUGACGUGAUCGGUUCGAAAGCGUGACUCAUUGAUUGAACACAUUCUGCCUUUCUCACACAGAGGCAGCAGGAGAGUAAGGAGAAAGGCUGGAGUGCAGCAAAUAAGAGCAAGCUACAACAUUUCUGCUCGCAAGCCUACAGUUUGAGCAAAAGCAAAGCAAAUCCAUCUGCAGAUGGAACCUAUUUACAGGAGUUUGCAUGAUUCUGGAGGCCUCUGGCUGUGGGGAAGGAGCACGGGUCACUGAGCCAGGACUGGGCCUUGUCUAACCAGCAGGCGGCGCCAUGCAUGAUAUCUUCAAACUCUUGAAGGCAGGCGGGGACCUGAAAUAGAAAACAUAAGGAAGCAAACUGUCGGUUUUAUAAACAGACUUUCAAAAGCUGGGAUGCAACAAAUUUUCAAGAUACAAGAGUCAACCAAUGCUUCGUGUUAACUCUCAUCACCCCUUUCUCUGCAUUUAAUCCAUUGCGAACAGAACAUUCCUGUAGCUAUACAUUACUUUUUAGUCUUUUAUUAACUGUAUAUUAUGUUACAAUAAGCCAGUUUUGCCUCAAAAAGCAAUAAAAGUCCCUUAACAAAGUAAACAUUUCUGAACAGAAAGGCAGUAACGUAUCAUGUUUGUACGCAUGCUCACAUUUAGAAGCCAGACAAACAAUAUCCUGGAAAAAAACAUCGUAUUGACUCUGCAUAUAUUGUUUUACGUCACUGUGUCGUACUAAGAUGCAAAAGGAUUUGUUUUCGGUAAAACUCACACUUGGAGUGAUGUCUCACAUACUGUCAUAUAUCGCCUGCCUCGUUGUGUCCUGACGGUUCGUGCUGAACUAUUAUUGUCCCGUUGCUAACCUCUGCUUUACACAGCUUCCUGUUUGACGUGAGCUGCCUGCUGUUCGGUGCGCUCUCCCUCGGCCUGGACCUCGCUCUCUGCUCACUGGGCUUCACCGUUGCUGGCCAAACGCCCGUAUUCUUCUGUUUGUGUGUUUGUGUUCGUUAAAACACUUUACGUUCACUUGCGUUUGGGUGGUCGCUUCUUCACAAGCACAACAGAUAUAGUCAAAAGGAAAUAAAUAUAAUUCAAACAAUGUCAUUUUUCCUUUUACGUAACAUCCAUCAUGAAGGUACUGUCUGUUGCCUGAUCAUGAAAUAAUAUAGAAUAAGGUAAACACUUUAAUCCAGCAGCUUUUGUCCAAUCACUGGAUAUCUAAAAACAUAUUAUAUACCGACAUUCAAUUUUAGACACGUCUUGAUGGCACCCACCCAGUAUUAUUGUUUGUUCGUAUAAUCACAUAACCUUUGAUUAGUUCUCGAAGUAGAGAUUGUAACCAGAGCGACAAGUGAUCUUAGUCCAUAUUCGCUUAGCUGCACUACAAUGGGAAGCCGUUGUAUCACUUAUUGGCUUUUUAUUGCUAAAAUAAUAACUACCAACACUAGUACUUUUAAAGGCAGUAUUGUAUUGUCACAUAUUGGCAAAUUAUAAAACAAACAUAUCACAUAUUUGGGAAAUAAAACGGCAACUGUCUGGCGCAAAGUCGAGGCAGCUGUCGUAAAAACGGCAACCGUCGAAGCACCACUGCGACAAAGUCGAGAAAAAAGCUAUUGCAACGUCCCAUUAUUCACCUCAAAUUUACAUUAAUUGAACACAAAACCACUAGUCCCAUAUGCCUUUACAAUAAUACACAUAAAGAAAUGAUCAAGUGUACCUAAACAGACAGUGAAAGACAUUAAUUCGGUCUUAAUGCUCACGUUGCGUACGGUACGUACCUCCUCUCAGUCACCGGUGAGCAGACUAACGAGGGCACGCAAUGCCAGUCAAACAAUACACUCUACCCACAAGAGGGCGCUGUUACACAAAAUAAUAUAACUCCUAAUACCAAAGCUAAUUAUAUACAGGACAGAAAAAGGAUUUUGGAGAAAUAAAACACAGUAACUUGAACCAAACACAAUUGAAAACAAAAAAAGAUUUACAUAUUUACUUAGACCUGUUACAUUUACACUUACAGUUUAGUGCAGUGUAAUAGUUAUGCCGUGAUAAUUGAAUGCUAGUGUGAAAAUAAAUGAUCACUUCAAAUGUAUCAGACUGCCAUGAUACAUUAUUUUAAUGCAGGAAGUUAUCUUCCCCCCCGGAAUGAACGAAUGACUCGAAAAAAGAUUUGUUCAUUUUACUCAAGGCGGACACUAGAAAGAAUUACAUUCGUGAACACGUGAUCUGAAAAAUAACAGAAGAAUCUAUUGGCUGGUUUUUCCCUUGAACAACACAAAACACAUAAACAGUUAACAGGUGAUUACGCACAAUGGACACACUUCCAGGGCACCCACGUGUCACGCAUCAAGCGUUGCAGCAGGGAUCGGGCGUUCAGUGACGUACGGGGAGGUCAGGUCAGGUCAGGUGAACUCAGAAUGACCUUAUUCUCCUGACACCGCGUUCCGCGUUCCAGUGACGUUUGGUGAGGUUAGUAAAUUCCAUAUCGCCGCUACUUAUAGCGAACACGUCAUUACCCCCAAUGCAAUGGGGCAGCGUUUGGCCCCUUCCACACCCAAUAACGUGAAAAAUAAAGUAUUUAAUGCAACUAAAAAGGUGUAAAACAAUGUAUGGGACGUUACCAAGCCAUGAACAUCAAAAAAAAAAGAAAAGAAAACGAGCCAGAAAAAGUGCAAACCGUGCAAACCGUGAUUGAGACUAUUAGUCGCGUUAUAGACCUCUACCUCGAAAAGUUCCACACGGUAGCCACCCAGUGCCAGUGUUUUACACUGGUUGGGUGGCCGGCGCAGGCUGUGACUCCUAGUUGGUCUGCCGGCAAGGCGGUGGGUGGGACGCCGGCUGGUCAGGUAGGGGUCCUAGACAGCAGCCUGUUCUGGCCGCCUGGCUGGGACACGGGUGGUUAGGCCGAGUGAUUGGCCGUUGGCAGGUGGGGGGCCUCCAA